AGCGAACGCUGGCGGCAGGCCUAACACAUGCAAGUCGAACGGAUCCUUCGGGAUUAGUGGCGGACGGGUGAGUAACACGUGGGAACGUGCCUUUUGGUUCGGAACAACUCAGGGAAACUUGAGCUAAUACCGGAUGUGCCCUUCGGGGAAGGAUUAUUCGCCAUUAGUAGCGGCCCGCCGUCUGAUUAGCUAGUUGGUGGGGUAAAGGACCGUACCAAGGACGACGAUCAGUAGCUGGUCUGAGAGGAUGAUCAGCCACA
rnacentral:rRNA from 1 species